GACGAACGCUGGCGGCGUGCUUAACACAUGCAAGUCGAACGGAAAGGCCCUGCUUGCCGGGUGCUCGAGUGGCGAACGGGUGAGUAACACGUGGGUGAUCUGCCCCUUACUUUGGGAUAAGCCUGGGAAACUGGGUCUAAUACUGGAUAGGACCAUGCUGUAGGUGGUGUGGUGGAAAGAUUAGUUUCGGUGAGGGAUGAGCUCGCGGCCUAUCAGCUUGUUGGUGGGGUAAUGGCCUACCAAGGCGUCGACGGGUAGCCGGCCUGAGAGGGUGGACGGCCACAUUGGGACUGAGAUACGGCCCAGACUCCUACGGGAGGCAGCAGUGGGGAAUAUUGCACAAUGGGCGCAAGCCUGAUGCAGCGACGCCGCGGGGGGGAUGACGGCCUUCGGGUUGUAAACUCCUUUCAGCCAUGACGAAGCCCUUGUGGUGACGGUAGUGGUAGAAGAAGCACCGGCUAACUACGUG
rnacentral:rRNA from 1 species